rfam:Salmo salar isolate Sally breed double haploid chromosome ssa01, whole genome shotgun sequence.
UGCAUACAGGACUUUAAGUUGCUUUGGAUAAAAGUGUCUGCUAAAUGGCCUAUA